AAGGCAUUGAAGAGGCCGAGACGAAGGGGAGAGGAGGAGGAGAUGCAGCAGGCAGUCCUCGUCUUACGACCACAAGAGAGUCCAACAUUUCUUUCCUAACCAAGACGCUUGUUGAGCUUUGCCCAUUUUACGACCUUCCUUCCCGCAGUUGUUAAAUGGAUCGAUGCAGUUGUGGAGUAGGUGACGAGGUUGCUAAGUGAGUUGGGCUUCCUCGUCGAAAGGUCGCGAAAGGGGGCCACCUGACACCCACGCACGGACGCGGGGACCCUGCGACCGUCGUAAUUAUGAACCAACUGCCAAGCGGCUGAAUUCUGGUCAUGUGACCACGGGGAUGUUGCAACGGUUGUAAGUGUGAGAAACGGUCCUAAGUCCAUUUUUCCAGUUGUGUUGCGACAUUGAAUGGUGACUAAAUGAAUUGUUGUAAGUCAAGGACUAUCUGCAUUCAAUUUUUAAGGCUGGAAACAUUGGAGAGUUGAAGCCUUCGCUUCUGGUUACUGAAUGCAAAUUUAAAUGGGAUUCUUAAACAUCCUUAAACAUUGUGUGCCUAAUUACACUUGGCUAAUAAAGAAUUCUGUUUUGUUCUGUUC